rnacentral:lncRNA from 1 species
GUCUCCAGUCUACUAUUAAUCAGAAGAGAGAGGAGCGGGGUCCUACCUCGAAGACCACUAUGUCUGGGGAACAUGGCCGCCAGGGCCCAGAGCAGCAGGAGGGAGCAGAAGACAGCAACAGCGAGGUGGAAGAGGAGGAGGAUGAUGGUGGUGCGGAGGAAGUCAACGAACCUGUCCACCCUAUGGAGGGCUUACAGCCGGUGGAUGGGGAGGCCAACUUGCCGAAAUAUCACAAAGUUGGUAGAGAAAGAAAGAAAGAAAAAAAGAAAAAAGGAGGGAAAGAAGGAAAGAAAGAAAUAAUGGAAGAAAUGCAUGAAGAAAGAAAGAAAGAAAGAAAGAAAGAAUAACGCUUAUGAAGAACAAUAGGUGAGCGCUGCAUGCAGCACUCACCUAAUUAGCGUUUUACUUCGAACAUUUUGAUUAUUAUGAUAAUUACUGUAUUAUUAUAAUAAUUAUUACUAUUAUGUUUAUUAUUGUAACAUCUGUAUAAUUGUUAUAAUAAUUAUUAUUGUAGUAUUUGUAUUAUUAAUGUUAUUAAAAUGGCCAUUAUAAUUGUAUUAUUGUCAUGAUUGUAAUUUCAAGAUCUGGGGAUGUGGUUGUGAUCUAAACGUCCUGAGGAAGUCAGUUUAAGGUCGUCAGUCAGACUGGCUCAACAGGACAGGAAACCUCAGAGGAUGAUUUCCUCAUAGUGAGCGUAUCUGUCUUCUGGUUCCCCUGCAGAUGCACUCGAAGCCUUGAGAGACAUUCAGUGUGAGUGAUAAAGUUAUCAGUGGUUUGUAGUAAACACUGGGCAGCUUCUCCAUGUCUUUCCCCUCGUUGAGACUGAGAACAGCAAUGACAAAAAGCAGGUUCCAUAUAAGCAGGGAAUAACCAAACGCUGAAUGACCAGGGGAAACUGAAAUCUAGCAAAGAUGAAAUAUCUUAAAUCAAGGCAAAAUAUUCUUGUUUUUUGUCUGUCAAGAUAUUUCUUCUUACCAGGCAGUUUUUGCGUCAGAGCAUUUCACUUGAUUUAAGUGUUUCUUUCCUGAAUUAUCUUAAUAAGGCAUUAUAACCUGUUAUUGAACAUCCUCAAGAUGGUAUUUUACUUGUACAUACGUU